AUACGGAGGGUGCAAGCGUUACUCGGAAUCACUGGGCGUAAAGCGCGCGCAGGCGGCUAUUUAAGUUGGAUGUGAAAGCCUACGGCUCAACCGUAGAACUGCAUCCAAAACUAUUUAGCUAGAGUGUGGGAGAGGAAGAUGGAAUUAGUUGUGUAGGGGUAAAAUCCGUAGAGAUAACUAGGAAUACCAAAAGCGAAGGCAAUCUUCUGGAACACUACUGACGCUGAGGCGCGAAAGCGUGGGGAGCAAACAGGAGUAGAUACCCUAGUAGUCC
rnacentral:rRNA from 1 species